AUUGAACGCUGGCGGCAGGCCUAACACAUGCAAGUCGACCGGCGCGGCGGACGGGGAAGUAAUGCCUAUGAAUCUGCCUGGUAGUGAGGGAUCACGUCCGCAAACGGUCGCUGAUCCCUCAUACUAUCACAUCAUCCUCGGUCGGAUUAGCUGUUUGGGGGGGGAAAGGCCUACCAAGGCGACGAUCCGUAACUGGUCUUUGAGGAUGAUCAGUCACACUGGAACUGAGACACGGUCCAGACUCCAACGGGAGGAAGCAGUGGUGAAUAUUGAUCAAUGGGCGCAAGCCUGAAACAGCCAUUCCGCGUGUGUGAAGAAGGUCUUCGGAUUGUAAAGCACUUAAAGUUGGGAGGCGUUACCAACAGAAUAAGCACCGGCUAACUCCGUGCCAGCAGCCGCGGUAAUAC
rnacentral:rRNA from 1 species